rnacentral:rRNA from 1 species
UACAGGGGGGGCAAGCGUUGUUCGGAAUUACUGGGCGUAAAGGGCUCGUAGGCGGCCGGCUAAGUCCGACGUGAAAUCCCCAGGCUUAACCUGGGAACUGCGUCGGAUACUGGCGGGCUUGAAUCCGGGAGAGGGAUGCGGAAUUCCAGGUGUAGCGGUGAAAUGCGCAGAUAUCAGGAGGAACACCGGUGGCGAAGGCGGGUCUCUGGGCCGAUACUGACGCUGAGGAGCGAAAGCGUGGGGAGCGAACAGG